UGUAUUCUGUAAGAAAUAACAGUGGUACUGAAUGUCAGGCGAGCCCCCCCUCCCCAGUCUGAACAAAUCAGUGUCAGAAAGAUUUGAAUGGUUUUGGUCUACUGAACUGAGUCGAUUCACUAAAAAGAGUCGGUUUACUCAUCACUAGACUCAGUAAAUAUCGCCAUCUAGCGGACACAAUGAAAUUAGAAUCCCUAAAAUUAGAAACUACCGUGUAAGAAGCCAACUACAAUCUCGUUUAUUAUUAUUUUUUUUAAUUAUUAUUAUCUGUGCAUUACGUAAACAGUAAAUUUAAUUUACCCACGUGUACUUUUUUUUGUUGUUUAUCUGCCAUAGACGUCAUAACCAUGAAGGUCGCACGCGCUCCUAUUUGAAAUGACAACACUGGAUUCGGAUGGGUACACUAAUGGAAAGAGUGUGCUGCUACUGACAGACUCUUCAGGUUUCUUUGGGGAUCGAUCUGUUGCUGUGAGUGCACCGGGCAGAGGAGAAGCAGAUAAAGAUGAUGCAAACCCCUCAGUCUAGUUCCGCGCCUAAGGCUGUACUGUUCCGUUCAAACAACUGCUCUCCAUCAGCUUGCCGUCUGUCUCCACUCAGCUUUAGUUCCCAUCACUGCUGUGAAGAACUUGACCUUUGCAUGGGCCACCACCCGCAGCUACCAGACCUGCCCUUUACAUAUGUCUCAGGUUAUGAAUAAUAGUUCCAGAGAUGAACAUUCUGAAGAUGCAGUCAUUGAACUAUCCACAUCAUUGGGUCCCACAAAGAAUUUCACAUUCUCAAGAACCUCUGGGAUUCAGACCAGUGAGCCGUCUGCAUGACUCAUGGCUUUGCACUCUACCCGGCUUCAGUCUCUCAGAGUUCCAGCCUAUUUCUGUGAGCUCAGCAAAUUGAGCUGCAAGUCCAGCAGGCAGGUGAUAAGUUAUGCCACAGGUGGUGCUUUCUCUCUCUCUCUAUCUCAGCACCUAUUAUUAACCCUUUCCACUGUCCUCUGAGGAUCUGUGUAGGAGACAACCUGAUACAGUGGUGAGAGGAACAUGCUGUUUUCUUCCUUUAAAAUGUUCUUCUUCCUCAGAAUGCUGAAAUGUAGAAUAUAGAUGAAACUAGCCCAGGUUGAGUCUGGGUUUGUUCAGUUUGGAUGAAGAGAAAAUAUCACAUCUGAACAUACACUGGAUUGGGGAUAUAGCAUAUUUCUAAUCAACUGAUGGAUUUUAUGCCAGGAACACAUAGUCUGCACUUGAGUACCUGAGACAUAUUGUGUGAAACUGGAUCUGUAUCAGGUAUCAGUAUCAGAUACACAAUACUCUGAUGGGUAGACACCUUCCUCUUUCUCUCUAAAGUGAACUCAUUUGGUUUUUAUAUUUAUUUUUGCCACUGUCAGCUGCCAGUCUCUCUGUCUAAGAGAAGUGAGACUUGUAUGUAUUUUAAUCCAUUUUAAAUGUAUUUUUGGCAUAAUUCUGCAAAAAAAAGAGUUACAAUUGUAAAGAAAACAUUUAGAAGACAUUUAAUGUCUACUACAAAGAUAUGAAAUCAAUGCAUAUGCAGAUAAACUACUCCCCCCACAGUAGUAUAAGCUCUACAGAAGCACAUUUCGGUGUCACAUCCCCAAGCACUAUGUUAUAUGUAUAGAAAGCACACAUGAGCCAGAAGCUCAGCUUUGCUCAGCUGGGUCUGUACUGAGUCUUAAAAAAAAUGGGUGGGGGGACAAUUAUAUUAACCAUGAUCACUGGACAGUGGUGGAUGAACUAAGCAACCAUAGCCUGGAAAUGUUAUAAAGAAAGAGAAUGCACAGUAUUUAAACAGAAUUACAGCUUUGGGUUUGCAGUAGAAAGGACAGCUGUGUCAGCUGAAGUACAGACCAAAAGACCAUUUUCAAAAAAAAAAAACAAAAAACCAUUGCAAUUUAUGCAUGAAUGCACUGGCCAGUCAAUGAGCCAAAAUUCUGCAGUGUGACACUCUAACGCACACAGAAGCUGGCUAAUGGAGCAGCAUGAGCAGCCCUGAGCUUUGCUAAUGGCAGGGCUGUUUGACAACCCAACCGCAGGGCCACCUGUCACGCGGCCAGCG